rnacentral:rRNA from 1 species
UACGUAGGGCGCAAGCGUUGUCCGGAAUUAUUGGGCGUAAAGAGCUCGUAGGCGGUCUGUUGCGUCCGCUGUGAAAACCCAGGGCUUAACCCUGGGCUUGCAGUGGAUACGGGCAGACUAGAGGCAGGUAGGGGAGAAUGGAAUUCCCGGUGUAGCGGUGAAAUGCGCAGAUAUCGGGAGGAACACCGGUGGCGAAGGCAGCUCGCUGGGACGGUACUGACGCUGAGACGCGAAAGCGUGGGGAGCAAACAGG